AAGACAGGUCUUUCCUCAGUAAGUACAGGAUGUAAUUCUGUGCUGAGGAAAAGUAACAUAUGUUCUGUAAGAGUCAAAAGUUGGGAGACUUCCUCCCAGGCAGAACUCCCAGGUAGAAGUCUGCUCUGAAGAACCAUCCUUUCCACAUGUGAUUGUCUUCUGCAUUUGCAAAAGAGCUUCCCUGCAGGGAACACUGGGUGCUGGGAGGAGCAAUGACGAAAGAACAGGGAGACAGUUCCUGAGCUCAGUUGUUCUCCAAUAUCUCUCUUACCAUCCCUGAUGACCAGAACCAAAACAAUUCUUGCAGAACUUUUCUACAGACAGACUGAGAAACUGUGAUAACAAAAUAGCCAGUAGCCAAGCUCGGAUGCUCAGUGGAGCUGAGCUGUGGGUAUGAUUUGCCAAGACUCGUUUGACCUAAUUCAUGCCAGUGACUUGAAGCUUAAUGUUCUGACCAAAAACUUACAGCUCAGCAGUUUACUUACAAGUUUUCUCUGAUAUUUCUAUAUUCUAGGUUUGACCUAGAAAUUUCAGCUUUAAAACUAUGUCUAAUUAAAGAACCAUCUGCUUGUAUAUAUGUAUAUACACACACAUGUUUAUAUAGACACAUAUAUACAUAUAUAUGUUUUAUUUUAAUAAUGUUGGUGAGUAAUGAAAAAUUGAUUUUGACUUUGGGAGUGCACUUUACCCUUUUUGUGUAUGUUUACUGGAUAUAUUUCAAUCUGGUGCUCAGCCGAACAAUAAAACCAAUCUCCAAG
ensembl:lncRNA